rnacentral:tRNA from 1 species
GGCGUGGUGGCUGAGUGGUUAUAGCGAUAGACUAGAAAUCUAUUUCCUUCGGGAGCACAGGUUCGAGUCCUGUCCACGUCG